rnacentral:rRNA from 1 species
AUACAGAGGGUGCGAGCGUUAAUCGGAAUUACAGGGCGUAAAGCGCGCGUAGGCGGCUUAUUAAGUCAGAUGUGAAAUCCCCGGGCUCAACCUGGGAACUGCAUCUGAUACUGGUAAGCUAGAGUUUUGGAGAGGGAAGUAGAAUUUCAGGUGUAGCGGUGAAAUGCAUAGAGAUCUGAAGGAAUACCAGUGGCGAAGGCGACUUCCUGGCCAAAAACUGACGCUGAGGUGCGAAAGCGUGGGUAGCAAACGGGAUUAGAUACCCUAGUAGUCC